CUGGAACAAAUUGUGAAGCCCACGAGACUGAUGAAGCUUUCAUUAUUGAGCACCUGCUGUAUACCUCCUUGAGCUGAGGAGAGGGAUGAAGAGCUUAUGGCCAAGAGGGGACCAGGCCCACCCACAAACACUGCUGAUGUGGCAGGGAUGUGGCAACGCAGAAAGGAGCCAGGGGCUGGGCUCCCAGCAAUCUGGGGGCCACGGAGACUGGUUUGAGUGCAGGGGGAGUGGGCUAGGGCUAGCCCUGGUGGUAGGAUUCACAGGUGUCGGGCUCCUGGGCUGCAGCUGCUCAGUCACUUCCUAGCACUCAGGAGCAUCAGUUCAUUGUCCUCAUGCCAGUGGUGGGGGCAGCCCUCAUGCACAGGUUCUGAAAAAUGCUCAAGUGUACCUGUACUGUGGGAGAGGAAGGAGCCUGGCAAAGAUGCGCAUAGCCACCUCGCCAGGUGUGGGUCUUGAGGGAUCUUCUGUCUCCUCUCAGGUGGCUCAGAAUGUGGACCUGUACACAGGCGACCCCAACCUGGGGCUGGAGCUGUUUGAGGCAGCUGGAGACAUCUUCUUCAAUGGGGCCUGGGAGCGGGAGGAAGGCAUGUCCUUCUACCGGGACCGGGCCCUGCCCCGGCAGUGACUACGGGCAACCGCAAGGUGGAGCUGCAGCUACAGCUGUGCAACAAGCUGGUGUCACUGCUGGCCACACUGGAGGAGCCCCAGGAGGACUUGGAGUUUGCUUACAUGGCCCUAGCACUCAGGAUCACUCUGGGGGACCGGCUGAACGAACGCGUGGCCUACCACCGGCUGGCCGCCCUGCACCACCGGCUGGACCAUGGCAAGCUGGCGGAGCACUUCUACCUCAAGGCCGUUUAGCUCUGCAACUCGCCGCUGGAGUUCGACGAGGAGACCCUCUACUACGUGAAGGUGUACCUGGUGCUCGGUGACAUCAUCUUCUACGACCUGAAGGUGGGUGGGGAGGAGCAGGGCUCGGGGUGUUCCUGGCCCCCUUGGAGUGGGAUCUCCACCCGGACCCCAGAGGCCUGGGUUCCAGCCUUUCUUAGGAAUGGCCCAGUGGCCUCCCUCGAGCUCUACACCCAGCUGGAGGAGCCGGCAAGGUUAGCAGGU
rnacentral:lncRNA from 1 species